rnacentral:rRNA from 1 species
AUUGAACGCUGGCGGCAUGCCUUACACAUGCAAGUCGAACGGUAACAGGUCCUCGGAUGCUGACGAGUGGCGAACGGGUGAGUAAUACAUCGGAACGUGCCCGAUCGUGGGGGAUAACGGAGCGAAAGCUUUGCUAAUACCGCAUACGAUCUACGGAUGAAAGCAGGGGACCGCAAGGCCUUGCGCGGACGGAGCGGCCGAUGGCAGAUUAGGUAGUUGGUGGGAUAAAAGCUUACCAAGCCGACGAUCUGUAGCUGGUCUGAGAGGACGACCAGCCACACUGGGACUGAGACACGGCCCAGACUCCUACGGGAGGCAGCAGUGGGGAAUUUUGGACAAUGGGCGCAAGCCUGAUCCAGCCAUGCCGCGUGCAGGAUGAAGGCCUUCGGGUUGUAAACUGCUUUUGUACGGAACGAAAAGACUCCUUCUAAUAAAGAGGGUCCAUGACGGUACCGUAAGAAUAAGCACCGGCUAACUACGUG